UACAGAGGGUGCAAGCGUUAAUCGGAAUUACUGGGCGUAAAGCGUGCGUAGGCGGAUUUGUAAGUCAGGGGUGAAAUCCCGGGGCUCAACCUCGGAACUGCCUUUGAUACUGGCGAGCUUGAGUCCGGGAGAGGUGAGUGGAACUGCGAGUGUAGAGGUGAAAUUCGUAGAUAUUCGCAAGAACACCAGUGGCGAAGGCGGCUCACUGGCCCGGUACUGACGCUGAGGUGCGAAAGCGUGGGGAGCAAACAGG
rnacentral:rRNA from 1 species